rnacentral:rRNA from 1 species
GAUUAAGUUAUUAAGGGCGCACGGUGGAUGCCUUGGCACUAGAAGCCGAUGAAGGACGUUACUAACGACGAUAUGCUUUGGGGAGCUGUAAGUAAGCUUUGAUCCAGAGAUUUCCGAAUGG